AGAAUCAACGCUGGCGGCGUGCCUAACACAUGCAAGUCGCACGAGAAAGGGACUUCGGUCCUGAGUAAAGUGGCGCACGGGUGAGUAACACGUGAAUAAUCUACCUCCGAGUGGGGAAUAACUGAGAGAAAUCUUAGCUAAUACCGCAUAACACCUACGGGUCAAAGGAGCAAUUCGCUUCAGGAGGGGGUCGCGGCAGAUUAGAUAGUUGGCGGGGUAAUGGCCCACCAAGUCAGUGAUCUGUA
rnacentral:rRNA from 1 species